rnacentral:lncRNA from 1 species
GCGGGCUUGAUCCGAGGCGUAUUUCUCGGUCCAAUCAAAUUCAAAUUCUCUGUCGUAUUCUGCACUACGAUCUUCUGUACGGUUCAAUCUAAGCCGUUUAUUCUCUUCUUUACGGCCCCGAUCGCAUUCUCUAUUUUUGUCUCAUGUGUGGCAUUAAUUAACUCAUCUUAAUUGCCGUUGUCUAUUCAUCAUUACAGCCGACCUUGGGACUCAUAAUCAAAGCGACAGUUCGAUACGACGGCCUUUUCUUCUUCCUCAAGCUUCCCAUUAUUUUUGUCUCUUCCAAUUCUUUUUUUUUUUUCCUCAUAUCUUUCACUAAAGCCUCUUCUUUGUCUCAUUCAUCCUUCUUCUCUUUUCGUAACCGAUUCUCUCGGCUUUUCUCUUCUUUUGAACAAUGUCUUUGGUUCCUCCUCUUCCUUCUCAUCCAUCUCUUGACUAUACUAUACUCAAACCUUUCGUCGAUUUAGAUCCAUCUAGGUUCAUACUAGGUCCUUCUCUUGUAGAUGCACCAUCUCCU